CUUUUUAAAAAGCAUUGAAAGACCAUCUUCCUCUCUCUCUACUCCUUUCUAUAUUUUCCAAAUAUAAACUCUUUAUCUUUCUCUCUCUCUUCACAUUUUCUGUCUGGAAAACAUCAUCAAAAACAAGACUUGCCUCUUCUUGCUACACAACCAAUUCAAGAAUCCAUUUUUUCCAACUUUUUUAGAGGACCCAAAACUUCUGUUUAACUCAUUUUUCUUUGUAUGAUAUAUAAUUUGGAGUUAUGACAAGGGUAACCCUUGAUUUUGGAGAUACAAUGCAAAGGGAUGCUGUUCCUCCUGUAUCAGCAGAUGUGAUCUUCCCAUCUAGUCGCUUUCCAAAUUACAAAAUUGGACCUAACAAUCAGAUUAUGGAGGUCAAGCAGGAUUCUAAGGCACUUACAAUGAAAGAGGUGGUUGCUAGAGAAACUGCACACUUACUAGAGCAGCAAAAAAGGCUGUCUGUUCGCGAUCUAGCCAGUAAAUUUGAAAAGGGUCUGGCUGCUGCUGCCAAGUUGUCUGAUGAGG